UUUUAUUUGAGAGUUUGAUCCUGGCUCAGGAUGAACGCUGGCGGCGUGCCUAACACAUGCAAGUUGAGCGAUUUACUUCGGUAAAGAGCGGCGGACGGGUGAGUAACGCGUGGGUAACCUCCCCUGUACACACGGAUAACAUACCGAAAGGUAUGCUAAUACGGGAUAAUAUAUUUGAGAGGCAUCUCUUAAAUAUCAAAGGUGAGCCAGUACAGGAUGGACCCGCGUCUGAUUAGCUAGUUGGUAAGGUAACGGCUUACCAAGGCGACGAUCAGUAGCCGACCUGAGAGGGUGAUCGGCCACAU
rnacentral:rRNA from 1 species